rnacentral:rRNA from 1 species
GAUGAACGCUGGCGGCAUGCCUUACACAUGCAAGUCGAACGGCAGCGCGGGUGCUUGCACCUGGCGGUGAGUGGCGAACGGGUGAGUAAUAUAUCGGAACGUGCCCUAGAGUGGGGGAUAACUAGUCGAAAGAUUAGCUAAUACCGCAUACGAUCUACGGAUGAAAGUGGGGGAUCGCAAGACCUCAUGCUCCUGGAGCGGCCGAUAUCUGAUUAGCUAGUUGGUGGGGUAAAGGCCUACCAAGGCGACGAUCAGUAGCUGGUCUGAGAGGACGACCAGCCACACUGGGACUGAGACACGGCCCAGACUCCUACGGGAGGCAGCAGUGGGGAAUUUUGGACAAUGGGGGCAACCCUGAUCCAGCAAUGCCGCGUGUGUGAAGAAGGCCUUCGGGUUGUAAAGCACUUUUGUCAGGAACGAAACGGUGAGGGCUAAUAUCCUUUGCUAAUGACGGUACCUGAAGAAUAAGCACCGGCUAACUACGUGCCAGCUGCCGCCGUAA